UACCUGGUUUGAUCCUGCCAGUAGUCAUAUGCUUGUCUCAAAGAUUAAGCCAUGCAUGUCUAAGUACAGGCCGAAUUAAGGCGAAACCGCGAAUGGCUCAUUAAAUCAGUUAUGGUUCAUUGGAUCUUACCUUGUCCUACUUGGAUAACUGUGGUAAUUCUAGAGCUAAUACAUGCGAGCAAGCCCCGACCGGCGACGGGAAGGGCGCUUUUAUUAGAUCAAAACCAAUCGGGCUCUUCGGGGCCCGUACCCCAGUGGUGACUCUGAAUAACUUUGUGCUGAGCGCAUGGUCCUGGUACCGGCGCCGAAUCCUUCAAGUGUCUGCCUUAUCAGCUUUCGAUUGUAGGUUAUGCGCCUACAAUGGCUAUAACGGGUAACGGGGAAUCAGGGUUCGAUUCCGGAGAGGGAGCCUGAGAAACGGCUACCACAUCUAAGGAAGGCAGCAGGCACGCAAAUUACCCACUCCCGGCACGGGGAGGUAGUGACGAAAAAUAACGAUGCGGGACUCAUCCGAGGCCUCGCAAUCGGAAUGAGUACACUUUAAAUCCUUUAACGAGGAUCUAUUGGAGGGCAAGUCUGGUGCCAGCAGCCGCGGUAAUUCCAGCUCCAAUAGCGUAUAUUAAAGUUGCUGCGGUUAAAAAGCUCGUAGUUGGAUUCGAGUCACGGAGCGAGGGUUCACCGCCCGGUGCUUACUCUCCGCCAUCCGGACGUUGAUGUCGGCGUGGCACGGGGUGCUCUUCACCGAGUGUCCCGGCGCCGCCGACGAGUUUACUUUGAAAAAAUUAGAGUGCUCAGAGCAGGCCGUUCCUGACGCGCCUGAAUAGUUGUGCAUGGAAUAAUGGAAUAGGACCUCGGUUCUAUUUUCCGUUGGUUUUCGGAACCCGAGGUAAUGACUAAUAGGAACAGUCGGGGGCAUUCGUAUUGCGACGUUAGAGGUGAAAUUCUUGGAUCGUCGCAAGACGAACUACUGCGAAGGCAUUUGCCAAGAAUGUUUUCAUUAAUCAAGAACGAAAGUUAGAGGUUCGAAGGCGAUCAGAUACCGCCCUAGUUCUAACCAUAAACGAUGCCAACUAGCGAUCCGCCGGCGUUAUUCCCAUGACUCGGCGGGCAGCUUCCGGGAAACCAAAGUUUUUGGGUUCCGGGGGAAGUAUGGUUGCAAAGCUGAAACUUAAAGGAAUUGACGGAAGGGCACCACCAGGAGUGGAGCCUGCGGCUUAAUUUGACUCAACACGGGGAACCUCACCAGGCCCGGACACCGAAAGGAUUGACCGAUUGAGAGCUCUUUCUCGAUUCGGUGGGGUGGGUGGUGCAUGGCCGUUCUUAGUUGGUGAAGCGAUUU
rnacentral:rRNA from 1 species